AUGAGAACAUUCCGAGGUAAAAUUUCAUUGUUCUUUUCUUUUUUAAACUAAGCUACUUUAGAUGUAUUACUACUUACAUUAAUUAAUCUGAUUUCUCAUUGUUUUAAAUGUUUCAUUUAAUUAUUAACAUAAUAAAAUGUUUUGUUCAUUAAUUUCAUUUAAAUAUCACACUUAUGAUUAAUCUAAAUCAAUACCGUUUUUAUACUAAAAAACAAUAACAGUUAUUUUGUUUACCAUUUCAGAUCAAUAUAUGACAAGACAAUAGUGCUUGUUUUGAAGCAUUUCACACAAUAAGAUUAACAAUCAUGGACACAAAUUCAUAUAUGUCAGAAGAGAAUAGACGUACCCUCUUGGUUCAAAUGGAGAAGUAAUGAACAGACCAGUAAGAUGGACACUAAAGAAGAAUUUUGCCAGAUGAAAGGAAUUCCAUUGGUAACAGUAAUGAACACAAAUUGACAACUGCUAUUUGAAUCGCCUUAAGUUGUAAUAUCUCUUUAUGGCAGUUGCAGAACAGAUGAAAAAGAAACUAUCAAACAGUUCAAAGAAGAAUUACAGAAAACUGAGGAAGAAAAUAAAAUGUGAUAUUGAACUUUUGAUACAAACAAAUUUUUAAAUGAAAACAGCUGCAUAUCUUGUUUAUUUUGGAUAUUCAACAUAUGUAUAUUCAUUACAGUUUUCAAUGUUUAAAACAUCAGCAAAAACAUUAAGAGCUUUUAUUAUGAAGCAAGCAAAACAAACAGCUUGACUGAUAGAAAGAGAUAGAUGUUGCAAGCUGACAAAAUGUAUUUUUAGCAUAUUUUAAAGGACCAUUUGUUUAGUCUUUUGUGUCUUAAUUCAAAUAAAAUAAUUAAAAAGAAA